rnacentral:rRNA from 1 species
AUUGAACGCUGGCGGCAUGCUUUACACAUGCAAGUCGAACGGCAGCGCGGGCUUCGGCCUGGCGGCGAGUGGCGAACGGGUGGGUAAUGCAUCGGCACGUGCCCAGUAGUGGGGGAUAGCCCGGCGAAAGCCGGAUUAAUACCGCAUACGACCUGCGGGUGCCAGAGGAGCAUCGAAACGCCUCGCGCACUUGGAGAAGCCGAUGUCGGAUUAGCUAGUUGGUGGGGUAAAGGCUUACCAAGGCGACGAUCCGUAGCUGGUCUGAGAGGACGACCAGCCACACUGGGACUGAGACACGGCCCAGACUCCUACGGGAGGCAGCAGUGGGGAAUUUUGGACAAUGGGGGCAAGCCUGAUCCAGCCAUGCCGCGUGCGGGAAGAAGGCCUUCGGGUUGUAAACCGCUUUUGUUCGGGAAGAAAGCCUCUGGGCUAAUACCCCGGGGGGAUGACGGUACCGGAAGAAUAAGCACCGGCUAACUACGUG